rnacentral:SRP_RNA from 1 species
GCCGGGCGUUGUGGUGGACGCCUAUAGUCCCAGCUACUUGGGAGGCUGAGGCAGGAGACUCACUUGAGCCCAGGAGUUGGAGGUUGCUGUGAGCUGUGACUCUACAGCACUCUACCAAGGGCAAUAAAGUGAGACUCUGUCUCUA